AGACGUAGGGCGCGAGCGUUGUCCGGAUUUAUUGGGCGUAAAGAGCUCGUAGGCGGCUUGUCGCGUCGUCCGUGAAAACCUGUGGCUUAACUACAGGCUUGCGGUCGAUACGGGCAGGCUAGAGUGCGGCAGGGGAGACUGGAAUUCCUGGUGUAGCGGUGAAAUGCGCAGAUAUCAGGAGGAACACCGGUGGCGAAGGCGGGUCUCUGGGCCGCUACUGACGCUGAGGAGCGAAAGCGUGGGGAGCGAACAGGAUUAGAUACCCUGGUAGUCCACGCUGUAAACGUUGGGCGCUAGGUGUGGGGGGCCUCUCCGGUUCUCCGUGCCGUAGCUAACGCAUUAAGCGCCCCGCCUGGGGAGUACGGUCGCAAGGCUAAA
rnacentral:rRNA from 1 species